rnacentral:rRNA from 1 species
GACGAACGCUGGCGGCGUGCUUAACACAUGCAAGUCGAACGGAAAGGCCCUGCUUUUGUGGGGUGCUCGAGUGGCGAACGGGUGAGUAACACGUGAGUAACCUGCCCUUGACUUUGGGAUAACUUCAGGAAACUGGGGCUAAUACCGGAUAGGAGCUCCUGCUGCAUGGUGGGGGUUGGAAAGUUUCGGCGGUUGGGGAUGGACUCGCGGCUUAUCAGCUUGUUGGUGGGGUAGUGGCUUACCAAGGCUUUGACGGGUAGCCGGCCUGUGAGGGUGACCGGCCACAUUGGGACUGAGAUACGGCCCAGACUCCUACGGGCGGCAGCAGUGGGGAAUAUUGCACAAUGGGCGGAAGCCUGAUGCAGCAACGCCGCGUGCGGGAUGACGGCCUUCGGGUUGUAAACCGCUUUCGCCUGUGACGAAGCGUGAGUGACGGUAAUGGGGAAAGAAGCACCGGCUAACUACGU